rnacentral:rRNA from 1 species
UACGGGGGGGGCGAGCGUUGUUCGGAAUCACUGGGCGUAAAGAGCGUGUAGGCGGCCAGACAAGUCUGCUGUGAAAACUCGAGGCUCAACCUCGAGCUGUCGGUGGAAACUGUCUGGCUAGAGUCCGGAAGAGGAGAGUGGAAUUCCUGGUGUAGCGGUGGAAUGCACAGAUAUCAGGAGGAACACCAAUAGCGAAGGCAGCUCGCUGGGACGGUAUUGACGCUAAGGCGCGAAAGCGUGGGGAGCAAACAGG